AGCGAACGCUGGCGGCAGGCUUAACACAUGCAAGUCGAACGGGCACUUCGGUGCUAGUGGCAGACGGGUGAGUAACGCGUGGGAACGUACCUUUCGGUUCGGAAUAAUUCAGGGAAACUUGGACUAAUACCGGAUACGCCCUUCGGGGGAAAGAUUUAUCGCCGAUAGAUCGGCCCGCGUCUGAUUAGCUAGUUGGUGAGGUAAUGGCUCACCAGGGCGACGAUCAGUAGCUGGUCUGAGAGGAUGAUCAGCCACAUUGGGACUGAGACACGGCCCAAACUCCUAUGGGAGGCAGCAGUGGGGAAUAUUGGACAAUGGGCGCAAGCCUGAUCCAGCCAUGCCGCGUGAGUGAUGAAGGCCUUAGGGUUGUAAAGCUCUUUUGUCCGGGAAGAUAAUGACUGUACCGGAAGAAUAAGCCCCGGCUAACUUCGUGCCAGCCGCCGCUGUAACAC
rnacentral:rRNA from 1 species